UCUAUGAUUAUUUGUAACGUUUUUUAGUCUACCGUUAUCUAUGAGUGUUAUGUAUGUUUAUUUUUAAUAACGCAUAUUUAUUACUGUUAUGCUUUGUGUUAUGUAUGGGUAUAUUUAAUAACAGUAAAUAUUACCGUUAUUAAUUUAUGUUAUGUAUUAGAUUUUAAUAUGAUUACAAAAUUCAAAACCCUAAAGUUCCAAAUGAUCUCUGUCUCUCUCUCGUUAGCCUACACCGCCCCCAGUUUGCCUCGCUGCCUCCCCGGUCUGGAAAUCCUCCACCCCGCCCUCCUUCUCUUCUCUGGCGUCGUUGGCCGCGGUGCCUGGAUCAAGCGAAGUCCUGCCUCCAUUUCUCCUCAUAUCUCAACAGAUUCUCACCUCUAUCUUUCUCAUCCCUCAAUUUCUCAGUUCAUGCCCUAGAUCUUCUUCGAAAAUGUUGUCACCUCAUGGAUCUCCGCCGCGAUUAGCUCCGGCGGGGCUGGCUGUCGCCCCCUCUGAAAUUGGCGAGGCAAUCGCCGUCCUAUGUUCUCACCUACUCAUUCACACGCACAUGACGAAGACAAGGGUUGAGCCCUGACCUCUCGGCUCGACUGCUGUCGCUCUGUCUCACGAGCGCCUUCGCCGUCAGCGUUGGGUUCUGAAAUUGGCAAGGCUGUCGUGCUCUCCUCCCUGUGUUCGUCCGGCGGGUAAAGUAAGAAGAAGAAGAAGAGGCUUAAGUUCAAGAUUAAGGUCUCUAAUCCCUAUUUGAGGAGGUUAAUCAGCGGGGGGAUCGCGGGGGCGUUUCUAGGACUGCAGUGGCGCCGUUGGAGACGAUUAGGACUCAUUUGAUGGUUGGGAGCAGUGGGAAUUCGAGCACUGAGGUGUGGAAGGGGUUGUUUAGGGGCAAUUUUGUCAAUGUGAUUCGCGUUGAGCCUAGCAAAACCAUGGAGGUAUAUGAUUUAGAGGGAUUUUUUUGUCUAUAUAUAUAUUGUUUUCUAGUGUUGAUUGUGUAUAAUUUGAUGUAGUUUUUGCUUUGAGUUUAUUGCAAUGUGAUUGCUAGUGAAUGCUUUGUCCUUUCUAUUGUGUUGUUGUGAGGGAUGAAAAGGGUUGUUUAGGUGCAAUUUGGCUAUAUAUAUUGCUUUCUAUUGUUGAUUGUGUGUUUAUGUAGUUUUGUUGAAAGGCAAAGUACCAUUACUCAUUCUUCCUGCUGCUCUGGUAAUUUAUCGUGUUUGAUGUUCUACUUAUGUUAUGCACUCCAGCUGUGUGAAUAUGUAGUCAUAUCCCCCUCCAAAAAAGAAGUAGUCAUAUUCUUUGUAGAUUGAAAGAGAUUAAGAUUUUGUUUGUAUUUAAGAGAUAUCAGGGCCUCAUGGAGUCCAAUCAAAUGGAGACUUAAAUCGAGCCUAAUCUCCCAACUCUCUGCAAUCGACCGUGGUCUGAGCAUCCACCCAUGCUGCAAUCGACCGCUCGCUGAAGCAACAAUUAACUCAUCUUCUCUUGCUGAUUUCUGCGUAUAUAGGUAAGAAUUAGGAGUUUUAUUGGCUGAGCUUUAAGGAGUAGAGUUAGUGGCUUGGAGCAUCCACCUAUGACAGAUUUCAAUUUCCUGUGAAUCACUUCAUCAUACCUCAAUGGCAUAUCCUUUCCAGGUCUUUUCAGGGCCAACUGACUUGAAUCUCUGAAAUAGAUGCUGAAGAACUUAGAUUCUCCAAUCAGAGUUGUUGAGGCUGCAGAGAAGGGAUACACACAUAUGUUUGAGAUUGCAGAGACAUGUUUUGGAGAGAUGGGGAGCCAUGUAGGAUAGUUGGAGGAGACUUGCAUUAUUUUCGAGUGCAUCCUGAGGUUUGUGGUGGAUUAAAUGAGCCGUACGUUGAGCUGAAGAGUCUUGUGAAUUAACAAGAAAAGUUGUACCGGAUGGCUAGCUAGUUGCAUAUUUAAUAUGUUUAGUAUUUUUGUAAGGAAUAAUAGUAUAGAUAAAGCAGUUGUUGAAUUUUGACUAUAUUCAAAUCUUGUAUGAAUUCUUUUUUAUGAUAAUAAUAUAAAAUUAAAUAUUUUGGAUGAUA